AGAGUUUGCUCUUGGCUCAGGAUGAACGCUGGCGGCGUGCUUAACACAUGCAAGUCGAACGAAGCACUCUAUUUGAUUUUCUUCGGAAAUGAAGAUUUUGUGACUGAGUGGCGGACGGGUGAGUAACGCGUGGGUAACCUGCCUCAUACAGGGGGAUAACAGUUGGAAACGACUGCUAAUACCGCAUAAGCGCACAGGAUCGCAUGAUCCGGUGUGAAAAACUCCGGUGGUAUGAGAUGGACCCGCGUCUGAUUAGCCAGUUGGCAGGGUAACGGCCUACCAAAGCGACGAUCAGUAGCCGACCUGAGAGGGUGACCGGCCACAUUGGGACUGAGACACGGCCCAAACUCCUACGGGAGGCAGCAGUGGGGAAUAUUGCACAAUGGGGGAAACCCUGAUGCAGCGACGCCGCGUGAGCGAAGAAGUAUUUCGGUAUGUAAAGCUCUAUCAGCAGGGAAGAAGAAUGACGGUACCUGACUAAGAAGCACCGGCUAAAUACGUGCCAGCAGCCGCGGUAAUACGUAUGGUGCAAGCGUUAUCCGGAUUUACUGGGUGUAAAGGGAGCGCAGGCGGUGCGGCAAGUCUGAUGUGAAAGCCCGGGGCUCAACCCCGGUACUGCAUUGGAAACUGUCGUACUAGAGUGUCGGAGGGGUAAGUGGAAUUCCUAGUGUAGCGGUGAAAUGCGUAGAUAUUAGGAGGAACACCAGUGGCGAAGGCGGCUUACUGGACGAUAACUGACGCUGAGGCUCGAAAGCGUGGGGAGCC
rnacentral:rRNA from 1 species